GGAAUAUUGGUCAAUGGUCGGAGGACUGAACCAGCCAAGUAGCGUGAGGGAAGGCGGCCCUACGGGUUGUAAACCUCUUUUGUUCGGGAAUAACAGGGUCCACUUGUGGUCCUCUGCAUGUACCGUUCGAAUAAGCAUCGGCUAAUUCCGUGCCAGCAGCCGCGGUAAUACGGAAGAUGCGAGCGUUAUCCGGAAUCAUUGGGUUUAAAGGGAGCGUAGGCGGCCUUUUGAGUCAGCGGUUAAAUGUCAGCGCCCAACGUUGGCGUGCCGUUGAUACUGGAGGGCUUGAGUUCACACAAGGAAGGUGGAAUUCGUCGUGUAGCGGUGAAAUGCUUAGAUAUGACGAGGAACCCCGAUUGCGAAGGCAUCCUUCUGGGGUGUUACUGACGCUGAGGCUCGAAAGCGCGGGUAUCAAACA
rnacentral:rRNA from 1 species